rnacentral:rRNA from 1 species
AGAGUUUGAUUCUGGCUCAGAACGAACGCUGGCGGCGUGCUUAACACAUGCAAGUCGAACGCGAAAGGGACUUCSGUCCUGAKUAAAGUGGCGCACGGGUGAGUAACGCGUAGAUAACCUGUCUUCGAGUCUGGAAUAAUACACCGAAAGGGGUACUAAUACCGGAUAUUCUUGCAUUUCAUAAGGAGUGUAAGCAAAGGUGGCCUCUGUAUAUGCUACUGCUUGAUGAGGGGUCUGCGUACCAUUAGCUAGUAGGUGGGGUAAUGGCCCACCUAGGCUACGAUGGUUAGCGGGUCUGAGAGGAUGAUCCGCCACACUGGGACUGGAACACCGSUCAUACUCCU